UGCAAGAGCAGUUCAUAUUCCUAGGAGACCUUAGACUCUAUUAACCGCAAAUUACGAAUUAACAUAUAUGGCUAAGGCAAAAGUUAUACAUAAUCACAAGUGCAAUAUAAUUUUUAGUACCAGUGGUUUUAUGUACAUUAAAUAUGUUUUUGUCGAUAAUUUCCAUCUAGAAUUAUCAUAAGUGCCAUUCUCAGUUUCGCAAGCGCGAUCUCAUUGAGGCGCCCGACAGGAAGACGCCAUCAACUCUCCCGUUCGGGAAUUCUGCUUUUCCAAUUCCAAAUCUUUUAGGUGAUGACAAUUUCAAGGAGCGUUUUAAUAUAAUUAUUGUUAAGUGCAAAGUGGAGUGUAUUUCUAUUCAAAAAAAUUGUUAAGACCAUCGCUACUUGCGGUCAAACAAUCUAAUUCUCAGCUGUAUCGCACGUACGUCUUCAUUGAAAUUCAGAACGUGCCUCCUAAAGGAUAGAGCGGUCACAGAUACCCCUAAACCAUCAAGAGAAAACCAAUGCCGAUGUCCAUUACGAGUUUGAAUGCCAACAUUGCAAUGCCUGUUUACAACAUACAUAUUAACUUGCUCGCAAUGUCACUCGUGAUGCUACCAGAAACGGCUGCUCUCAGGAGAUACAUGCCAGGUAUUAGUCCUGCAUGCUGAACCAGCUGCUGUUUGCUUUGUAUAGUAACGCUGUUUAACUCAAAAUAAUUCGAGAGUCAGCAGCAGGAUGAUAUGAAAAUUACAUUUACGCAUGUUCAUACAUUAUUGCUAUUACUGAAGCUUUAAUAUAUUGGCAUAUCGAUUUGA